GAGUUUGGCAGAGGGGGGUGGAAUUCCACGUGUAGCAGUGAAAUGCGUAAAGAUGUGGAGGAACACCAAUGGCGAAGGCAGCCCCCUGGGUCGAUACUGACGCUCAUGCACGAAAGCGUGGGUAGCAAACAGGAUUAGAUACCCUGGUAGUCCACGCCCUAAACGAUGUCAACUAGGUGUUGGGAGGGUAAAACCUUUUAGUGCCGUAGCUAACG
rnacentral:rRNA from 1 species